AAGUCCCGCAACGAGCGCAACCCUCGACCUUAGUUGCCAGCAUUCAGUUGGCACUCUAAGGUGACUGCCGGCUAAAAGUCGGAGGAAGGUGGGGAUGACGUCAAAUUAUCAUGCCCCUUAUGACCUGGGCUACACACGUGCUACAAUGGGCGGUACAAAGGGUCGCGAGUCGGUGACGGCGAGCUAAUCUCUUAAAGCCAAUCUCAGUUCGGAUUGUAGGCUGCAACUCGCCUACAUGAAGUCGGAAUCGCUAGUAAUCGCGGAUCAGCACGCCGCGGUCGAAUACGUUCCCGGGCCUU
rnacentral:rRNA from 1 species